CAAUAAGCGGAGGAAAAGAAACCAACAGGGAUUGCCCCAGUAACGGCGAGUGAAGCGGCAACAGCUCAAAUUUGAAAUCUGGCCCCCCGCGGGCCCGAGUUGUACUUUGGAGAGGACGCUUCUGGCGCGGCGCCGUCCGAGUUCCCUGGAACGGGACGCCGGAGAGGGUGAGAGCCCCGUACGGGCGGCCGCCUAGCCUCUGCGAAGCUCCUUCGACGAGUCGAGUAGUUUGGGAAUGCUGCUCAAAAUGGGAGGUAAAUUUCUUCUAAAGCUAAAUACCGGCCAGAGACCGAUAGCGCACAAGUAGAGUGAUCGAAAGAUGAAAAGCACUUUGAAAAGAGGGUCAAACAGUACGUGAAAUUGUUGAAAGGGAAGCGCCUGUGGCCAGACUUGCGCCCCGCGGACCACCCGGCGCCUCGCGCGCCGGGGCACGCCAGCGGGGCGCAGGCCAGCAUCGGCUCUCUCGGGGGGACAAAGGCCGCGGGAACGUAGCGCCCUCGCGGCGUGUUAUAGCCCGCGGCGCCAUGCCCCCGGGGGGGCCGAGG
rnacentral:rRNA from 1 species